CUUGACCGAGCCGAGCAGCAGCGGCGGGGCGUCGCCCCGGUCCUGGCCGUAGGUGGCGAGCAGCGCCUGCGCCUC
rnacentral:antisense_RNA from 1 species